GUAGUGGUGGUGCAGGCGGCAGAAGUUGAGAUCGGAGGUGGAGGGGGGACCAGCUGGGUCGGAGGGAUCAAAGCAGUCGCUUUAAAAGAAGAAGAAGAAGAAGAAGAAGAAGAAAAAUAGACUACCACACCUAGGUUUGAAUAUUAUGCAUCAACGGUGAUAUGGAGUAAUUUUGCAAGUUACAAAGCCCAAGAAACGCAAACCAGUCUUAAAAUAGGAAUGCGUAUGCAACUUUACCUAUAGUGGCGGGGAUCUGAUGUUAGAAAUACUUAAAAGGCCUGGAAAAAUGUAACCGUAUUGCAUUAUUUUAUUUUCAGGUAACGUAUCAAAGUUGUUGAAAACCCGCUGCCCAUAUUCGCUCUAUUAAUUUCUCUGUUUUCACUAUCUCAUACACAUUCUAUAGUCAUAAAACAUGCAACCGAGAAAGUUAAUACAGAGCCGAGUACGUGUGAUGUCACCAUUUCACUUCAACUUCUGAAUGAACUCUGAAUUAAUCCCCACCAUCACCAAAAAUAUCCCUGCCAUCUCACUUGCUCUUUACCUACUCUACAGCACGACGAGCUCCUGCUUUUCUUCUAAUUGGGUACUUUCACGGACAACUAUUGUGUUUCUAAACAGUUUAAAAAUCUGGUUUGUAAGUGCUUACUACAACAGGUUUUGGUUAACGGUGAUGGUUUAAUGAAACGAUUGGAUUAGAAACCAACUCAUUUAGGAAAGGGUUCAAGAAUCUUCAAAGCUUCUUGCUUCGUAAGUGCUUCAAACGAUUAACUACUGGAUUUAUUUUAACACAGACGCACACCAACAAAUAAUGAUAUUGCUCGUUUCCUCUUUUAAACUUUUUUCAAAUUGUAUUUUAAUUGCAAGUCUAUCCUUUCAAGAAAUGAUAUUGUUAGACUUUAAUUCUCCUUCCCCACACCCUAGAAUGCAUAUCCGUAAAACUCAAAGUACUAUAACUGAUUUGAGAAUUCUCCCUGUGUCAAGUGAAGACUUAUGGUGCUGAAAUCAAUAAGACUGCUUAAAAUUCAAAGACCUGCAAAUCGUUCUGUUUGUCCUUUGAUAGGGCCUGUGCUGAUUAAAAUGCGACCAAGAAAGCUUAAUUGCUGCACUAAUUAAGAAGUCUUUAAUUUCAUUCCUGGAAUAUUGUUUGAAGCAGGGCUUCUCUUGUGCUCACAUAACUCUCUUUUUUUCCUCUGACCAUUUCGAUAAAUGAGAAUGUGCAUUGGAACAACAAGAUGAAUAGAUAGCUAUAAUAAUUUAUUGCUUAAAAAAAACCCAGCACCUGCUCCGGAGUUCACUAUUUUAUUAAAUCCAGUUUUGCGGGCAGCUGUAACGUGUAAAAUGCAAUUAAGAAAUGUAUUGUAGCUGUUGCAUCUUAAGUACUCUGAUACCUGACCGCCUGGCACCCCCUUCUCCCUCCUCCACCCCCAGUUGUUACUGUAAAUGAAUUCAGUCAAAUAGAAAAAUAUUAACUUCGGGACCGGGGGUGGGGGGCAGCGUAUGAGAGGGAAUUUUUGCAAGAAGAUAGGUAGAUUGUAUGUCUGGAUAUGUAUCACAAUGUUAAAUUCAUGAACAUGGAUUCUAUCUGUAUUUAUUCUGACUUUCCCCCCUGAAAAAUAUACUGCUCUAUUAUAUUUCAUCUUA